rnacentral:lncRNA from 1 species
AGAUCACUCUCAACUUUUCAAAAGUUCAGCUAAGGGCAUGUUUGGUUGUCCGUAAGUGAAACAAUAAAAGUGGUAUUUUGACGAAGUGAGAUUAUUUCAGUUGUUUGGAUUAUAAAAGUAAAUAUGUAAGUGACUUUUGAAAAGUGAACCUAUGAAGUGGAUUAUAACUAAAAUCCACUUUUUUGACUUCGGCAAAAGAAAUUUCGAAGUCGUUGAAAGUGGGCCGCCUACUCCACGCAACGUAGGAAUCGCAUCCAAAAAUCUUCUUCCGUACCAUCUACAAAA